UAGGGAAUAUUGGUAAUCUGGGAAACCGGGAACCAGCAACGCCGCGUGUGCGAAGAAGGCCUUCGGGUCGUAAAGCACUUUUUGGAAGGAAUAGGAAGGAAUGUACUUCCAGAAUAAGUCUCGGCUAACUACGUGCCAGCAGCCGCGGUAACACGUAGGAGGCGAACGUUAUCCGGAUUUACUGGGCGUAAAGCGCGUGUAGGUGGUUCUGUAAGUAGGGCGUGAAAGCUCCUGGCUCAACUGGGAGAGGCCGUUCUAAACUACAGAACUAGAGGAUGGUAGAGGGAGGUGGAAUUCCAGGUGUAGCGGUGGAAUGCGCAGAUAUCUGGAGGGACACCAGUGGCGAAGGCGGCCUCCUGGACCAUUCCUGACACUCAGACGCGAAAGCUAGGGUAGCAAACG
rnacentral:rRNA from 1 species